AGACACAUAAGCCAAGCAAGAAACCCAAGUCACCAGUUACACCCAUUGUGAAACCACCACACAUAGUUCCUCCAAUUACUGUCCCUCCCAUUGUGAAACCUCCAAAAGUUCUUCCCCCUAUCAUUGUGAAACCUCCAAAAGUUCUUCCUCCUAUCAUUGGUAAACCACCAGUUACAGUUCCACCAGUUACAGUCCCUCCUAUUUUGAAGCCACCAGUUACUUUACCCGUUCCAAUUCCUCCAGUUACAGUCCCUCCCGUUGUGAAACCACCAGUAACAUUACCUGUUCCAAUUCCACCAGUUACAGUCCCUCCUGUUUUGAAGCCUCCAGUAACUUUACCUGUCCCAAUCCCACCGGUUACAGUUCCACCAGUUACAGUUCCUCCAGUUACAGUUCCUCCAGUUACAGUUCCACCAGUUACAGUUCCUCCGGUUCUUACCCCACCAACGACACCGGGGCAGGGAGGGAAUACACCAUGCCCACCACCGAAGUCUCCAGCACAGGCAACAUGCCCAAUUGACAUACUGAAACUGGGUGCAUGUGUUGAUCUGUUAGGUGGGUUGGUGAACAUUGUAGUGGGGGACCCAGCUGUGAAUGAGUGUUGCCCUGUGCUUCAAGGACUUGCUGAGGUUGAAGCUGCAGCGUGUCUUUGCACCACUAUUAAGCUCAAGCUUCUGAAUCUCAACAUUUAUGUUCCAAUUGCUCUUCAGCUUCUUGUUGCAUGUGGAAAGUCUCCUCCUCCUGGUUACACCUGCUCCAUCUAAACCACUUAAGUGCUUCUUCAACUGUGUAAGUCUCUCUAAACCCCCACAAAACCCUAAUUUAUGUUUUCUUUUACAUUGUCAAACAUCAACUCUUUCUAAAAUAGAAGGAGUAAACGGUCACUUUCCUUGUGUUUAUUGUUUUCAUUAAUAGAUAAUAAUAUGAGAUUCUUUGUUAAUCAUUUUCUAUAAUGAACAGUGAAACUUGUUAGGGUAUAUGUUUGUUAGGUAAAGUAAGCAGUAAUUAUCUAAUCCGUUGAAUAUUUAGUUAUUAAAAUAACUAAGUUAAAAAGACAACAAAAUCCUUAAUAUAAUUAGCUUUAGAUUCAAAUUGGUUGUGUCUACCUUUUCUAUUAUACUGCUCAAUCAUUAAAUUCUACUGAUCAUUAACCAAGUUUCUUUCUUUUUUGGAAGUAGCUAAUAACAUGCAUGGUUAUCCACUUUGUCUUCUAUGUUUUUUCCCUCUAUUUUAGAAAGAUAAUAGUGAUGGCAUGCAUAUUAAUUAAGCUUGUCGUUCUUUAUAAACAAAUAAAAAAUGAAGUUGGAAACUGAAUGUUUUAUUUAAAUCAUUAUCAUCAUAGGAUAUAUAGUCAUAUAAGUGCUGAGAAGAGGGAGUAAAAGGUUAGAGAUUUUCUCCAAAAACAAUACCUUUCCUAGCUAGCUAUUUAAAUAUAGAUUAUUAAAGUAAUCAACAUUCUAGUAUGAAAGUUACUGAUUCAAUUCUUUUGUCUUCCCUUUUCUUUUAACUGUUAUUAUAUAUGAUUGUGAACGUUUUGUGUUCAUACUAAGUAGAUUACAUGGAAUUAAGGAUGCAAGAUUUGAUUUGUAUUUCCAAUUAUUAAUGUUGUCCUAUUGUAUACCCGUGAACUUGAAUUCUUUGUCUUAUAUGAUGUCACU
rnacentral:lncRNA from 1 species